AAGAAAUGAACCAGCAGUGACGAAAAAGUACAGUGCGGUCCCGGAAGUUGCCAUGUCGAGUCGUAUCGAGUAACUCGUGCCGUUCCUUGUGUUUCGUGCUGCCGGGUCGUUGUAUGUCGUGCCAUAAUAUAUGCCGUAAGAUAUCCACAUCAGUCAGUACAUGCAGUUGGGCUGAGAGAAACGCAUGCGCGUAGGUGAAUUAUUAUUAACAGUGUGCCGAAACAGAGUCCAACGCCGGAGUUCCAGCCAAACAGCUACGUUAGUGGGAGUCUGGUUGGUGGAGGGGCAAGCCCCCUGCUAGGGGCACACGCUGGGGGUCUCCUAGGUCCCAAUGCCCUGCUAAACAACAGCGGCAGGACCAAUUUCACCAACAAGCAGCUCACCGAAUUAGAAAAAGAGUUCCAUUUCAAUAAGUACUUGACAAGAGCGAGGAGGAUUGAAAUCGCUUCUGCGUUGCAGUUGAAUGAAACUCAGGUUAAAAUCUGGUUUCAAAAUAGGAGAAUGAAGCAGAAGAAACGCAUGAAAGAAGGCCUGGUGGCAGCUGAGAGCCUGACGGGGGUGAACAGCUCACAGGGCUGUGUACUGUCUGGUGCAAGCAGUACUAGCAACUCCCCCACCACAGCCAUGCUUCCUGACGAUGGACGAGACACGUGAAACUUAUUCUCCGCCGACACUUUUGUGAUCUGAAUCAAUCGACGAUCUCAUCCUAACUACCAACUUUUGAUCUCUUCCAGGAAGUGACUGAAGAUUUGAUAAUGAAAUGUGUAUUAUAACACUGGUGUGGGAGUGUUACAAGUAUACAUUUUCUUGGAAUAAAGCAUUAUUAUUGUUUCAUUUGACUGAUGUUAUCUUUGGAGUUUGAGUGGUGUAUUUUUGGUUGAAAAUGAACACUGUAUGCAACAUAUCUCAAAUUUUAUCAUGAAAUUUAAUUUCAAAUUUCCAUGUAUUUCAAGGAGUUGUCCUGAGACACCUUAAAAUGAUAGAUUUCAAUUUUUUAUUUUGUGUUUUUAAUAGAGUUGAAAAAAUUCCCCUAUUAUCUUGGAAAAGUCUACUUAUUGUUUCAGAUUCAAUGGAGUUUAUUUGGAUUAUCCACCUUAAAAUGAUAGAUUUCAUUUUUUUAUUUUAAGUUUUUAAUAGAGGUGAAAAAUUCCCUUAUUAUCUUGGAAAAGUCUACUUAUUGUUUCAGAUUCAAUGUAAUUUAUUUGGAUUAUCCAAUCUUCUAAUAUUAACUGUAGGCUUUUCAAGAAAAUUAUUAUGUCUUUUCGAAAUCAUUUAUUUUUCGAAGGUAUUUAAGAAAUUAUUCUCCUGAUGAUUUGCAGCUUUAAAAAAUUUACUGGUUGAUUUCUCAUCUUCAAAUACAACUGUAGGCUAAUUCUGUUACUAGCAAAUAUCUUCGGCAGAAUGAGAAUUAAAGUUGUGAAAUUGCUCCAUAAUUUGAAUAGCUGAAGAUGUGCUGGUUUCAGCACGAAACUGCAGAUCUGUAUUAAUGUCUAAUAAAUAACGUGGAUGUGACAAGUAAAACUGUGUUUUCCAGGAAUGAAAAUUUAUUCUCAAAUAUCAUAGUUAGGAUCUCGAAAUAUAUUUUUUAACUGCUGCUCACCAAAAAUUACAUUCCAUCAUCUUGAUAUCAUGAAUUCACUUCUAUUACAUCUAGGAGAGAAGUGAUCCAUCGUUUUCAAUCAAUAAAAUAUAUAAUUGAUUUAGAUAUCAGCUCACUAUCAUGAUACAGUCAAAAUAGAGUUUGACUGAAAAAGCCAGAACUAUCACUACUUAUUUCUGAACUUAUUAUUUUAAAUGAAUACUGGAGUACAGAAGUCAAACUGAAUUUUUGUCUGCUAAUACAUUUUUAAGUAAAUGUUCCGCAAGACAUUCACCACGGAUUUGUUCCUAUAAGUUAUUGUGAAGAGGAUGAAUUAUAAUUUAUAGUUAUACGGUAACUAUUUUCACUAAUCUUGGUUGUAAAAAUGUGAACGAGAAUGGCUAUUCAAUAACAAUAUGAUUGAAAUACAGUGAAAAUUAUUCUCACUUGUAUGUGUGUAAAUAAUGUUGUUUUCAAUAGGCUAUUUUCAAAUUGAUUGAUUGUCCGUCUACAUACUAAGUCAUUAAUAUAACAUUAUAAUCUGUGUAAUUUACUACUAUAAGGAAGUGUUAAAUUCAAAUAAAAUGGAUACAUGUAUGUGUAAA
rnacentral:misc_RNA from 1 species